GGUACACGCUGUGACUAGCAUAUCAAUAAGCGGAGGAAAAGAAACUAACAAGGAUUCCCCUAGUAACGGCGAGUGAAGCGGGAAGAGCUCAAAUUUGAAAUCUUAAAGGGUUUCCCUUUACGAAUUGUAGUUUAAAGAAGUGUUUUCUGUUGAGGUUUUGGUAAAAGUUCUUUGGAAUAGGACAUCAUAGAGGGUGAGAGUCCCGUAUUUGACCUUUACUUUCAACUUUGUGAUACACCCUCAAAGAGUCGGAUUGUUUGGGAAUGCAGUCCAAAAUGGGUGGUAAAUUUCAUCUAAAGCUAAAUAUUGGCGAGAGACCGAUAGCGAACAAGUACCGUGAGGGAAAGAUGAAAAGAACUUUGAAAAGAGAGUUAAACAGUACGUGAAAUUGUCAAAAGGGAAGCGUUUGACACCAGUGUUGUUUUUCUGAAAAUCAAUUAAAGAACUGUUUAUGCUAAGCUGUUUAGACUUUAUCAGCUAACUGUUUAGUUUUGAGCUUUUCCUUAAUGCACUUUUCAGUUAACAAGUCAACAUCAAUUUCUUUUGCUGUAAAAAAGCUUGAGGAAGGUGGCUUGAGAUUCGUCUUAAGUGUUUAUAGCCUCUUGCCUAUGCAGUCGGAGAGAUUGAGGUCUGCAGCGUAGAUCCUUCGGGGCUAAAUGCAUUUGUGCUAAGUUAUAGCAUUUUAUAGACAACUUGUUGACUAUGAUUUGUCUUGUAGCUUACUCGCUUAUGUUAUUUUACCUACGCUUAGGAUGUUGAAGAUGUAGCACAUCAU
rnacentral:rRNA from 1 species